rnacentral:rRNA from 1 species
AUUGAACGCUGGCGACAUGCCUUACACAUGCAAGUCGAACGGCAGCACGGGUGCUUGCACCUGGUGGCGAGUGGCGAACGGGCGAGUAAUACAUCGGAACAUGUCCUGUAGUGGGGGAUAGCCCGGCGAAAGCCGGAUUAAUACCGCAUACGAUCUACGGAUGAAAGCGGGGGACCUUCGGGCCUCGCGCUAUAGGGUUGGCCGAUGGCUGAUUAGCUAGUUGGUGGGGUAAAGGCCUACCAAGGCGACGAUCAGUAGCUGGUCUGAGAGGACGACCAGUCACACUGGGACUGAGACACGGCCCAGACUCCUACGGGAGGCAGCAGUGGGGAAUUUUGGACAAUGGGCGAAAGCCUGAUCCAGCAAUGCCGCGUGUGUGAAGAAGGCCUUCGGGUUGUAAAGCACUUUUGUCCGGAAAGAAAUCCUUGGCCCUAAUACGGUCGGGGGAUGACGGUACCGGAAGAAUAAGCACCGGCUAACUACGUG